rnacentral:hammerhead_ribozyme from 1 species
AUGCAGCUGACAAAUCCUAAAUAGGACGAAACUCGUGUCCUGAAU